UUCAGAGUUUCAAGACAUAUACAGGGAGGACACAAUCAAGACAUACCAAGAAUGGUUGGGGGUUGAAGGAAAACUUGAUGACAUCAAUGCGUAUUUGAAUCCUACCAUUCAAAUACAUUCCAGUCAAGACAGCAACCCAACACCUCCAGUGCAGACACCAUCUCAUGCUCGACGUUGGACAUAGGGGCAAGGAAAUGGCUCAGAAAAUGGGCAGAAAAGGGGAUGUGGUCCCCUAAAAGGCUUGAAGGCAAUCUCCAAGAGAAUCAAGGUGGGCAAUCAGAAGAUGAAAGUUGACUUCUCCAGACUUGGAGGACCGGUAGGUGACAACUACCGCUCAU